rnacentral:rRNA from 1 species
UACAGAGGGUGCGAGCGUUGUUCGGAAUUACUGGGCGUAAAGCGCGCGUAGGCGGUUUCUUAAGUCUGAGGUGAAAGGUUCAACGCUUAACGUGAACAGUGCCUUGGAUACUGGGAGACUUGAGUGUGGCAGAGGAUAGUGGAAUUCCUGGUGUAGCGGUGAAAUGCGUAGAUAUCAGGAGGAACACCCAUGGCGAAGGCAGCUAUCUGGGCUAACACUGACGCUGAGGUGCGAAAGCGUGGGGAGCGAACGGG